CACAAGUGGAAUGAGACACACUUCGCCUUUGUAACUGUGUUGCCAGGAAGCAGAAUGAAAACCAAACUAUAUACACUGCCUGGAUUCUUGGUCCAUUUACCACUUUAAGAAAGCCCAUGAAAAUCCUCCUCCCAGGAGGGGUCCAGGAACAGUAGCUGAUGAAGGCAAUGGAUAUUGCCCUCACUGGUAAGCAGAAAGUCACAUGCCAAAUUUUACUGGGAUGACUUUAUGAUAAAUUUGACUAUUUUGGGGAAAUGUCAUAUGCUAUGACUAAGAGACGUGGAAACUCUCCUUCUGGAAGACAGUGGACACUAUGACAAAUCAUUCAAGAGUGACAUCCCAAUAGAUAAAGAUGUGGAACCCCUGAAAUGAAUAAUAUGAGAAAAUAUG
rnacentral:lncRNA from 1 species